GAUAUAGAUGAUGGCUAAUAAGUAUUGAGUUCUCAUUAACACUAAGUGAAUAAUUUGAAGUUUUAAUCACGUUUGCUAUUGUAUAUAUUGUAAUUAACAACACGCAUUGUGCAGAUUGUGUACGUUUAUUGCAUGCUGCAACUAACUUCUGUGCGAUGUUAGGAUGAUUCUGGCACACUGCAACCAAAGGACUUCAAAGCCUGCCUCAUCAGCCUUGGACAUGUUGGAAAUGAUAAACAGAAGAAGAAUGGGGCGAUGGAGCCAGAUGAUCUCAGAGCUUGCCUCAUCUCCAUGGGCUUUGAUUUGGGCGAAGCUGAGUUUGCUCGGAUCAUGAAUUUAGUUGAUCCAAACAAUACUGGCCUGGUGUCGUUCCAGUCUUUCAUCUCCUUCAUGACCCGAGAGACUGCUGAAACAGAUACAGCGGACCAAGUUGCAGCUUCC